rnacentral:snoRNA from 1 species
GCUUUGAAGAUGAUUAAACUGUCUGUAGAUGAUGAAAGACACAAUGCAGGUGCAUUAACAGAGC